GGGACUGCCGGUGCUAAGCCGGAGGAAGGUGGGGAUGACGUCAAGUCCUCAUGGCCCUUAUGAGCAGGGCUUCACACGUCAUACAAUGGUAGGUACAGACGGAAGCGAAACUGUGAAGUGGAGCUAAUCCGAGAAAGCCUAUCGUAGUCCGGAUUGUAGUCUGCAACUCGACUACAUGAAGUCGGAAUCGCUAGUAAUCGCAGAUCAGCAUGCUGCGGUGAAUACGUUCCCGG
rnacentral:rRNA from 1 species